UUAAACACUCCCUACAUCCUGU
rnacentral:miRNA from 1 species